ACCUGAAAUAGAGGCAUUGGUGGUGAUUUGAUUCCUUAAGUGCAUCUCUUUGGGGUUG
ensembl:miRNA gmo-mir-430e-3 gmo-mir-430e-3